GGCAAGCGUUGUCCGGAAUUAUUGGGCGUAAAGCGCGCGCAGGCGGUUCCUUAAGUCUGAUGUGAAAGCCCCCGGCUCAAUCGGGGAGGGUCAUUGGAAACUGGGGGACUUGAGUGCAGAAGAGGGGAGCGGAAUUCCAUGUGUAGCGGUGAAAUGCGUAGAGAUAUGGAGGAACACCAGUGGCGAAGGCGGCUCUCUGGUCUGUAACUGACGCUGAGGAGCGAAAGCGUGGGGAGCGAACAGGAUUAGAUACCCUGGUAGUCCACGCCGUAAACGAUGAGUGCUAAGUGUUAGAGGGUUUCCACCCUUUAGUGCUGCAGCUAACGCAUUAAGCACUCCGCCUGGGGAGUACGGUCGCAAGACUGAAACUCAAAGGAAUUGACGGGGGCCCGCACAAGCGGUGGAGCAUGUGGUUUAAUUCGAAGCAACGCGAAGAACCUUACCAGGUCUUGACAUCCUCUGACAACCCUAGAGAUAGGGCGUUCCCCUUCGGGGGACAGAGU
rnacentral:rRNA from 1 species